UACGUAGGGCGCGAGCGUUAACCGGAAUUAUUGGGCGUAAAGCGUGCGUAGGCGGCUUGUUACGUCUGCUGUGAAAGUCCAGGGCUCAACCCUGGAAGGGCGGUGGAAACUGGCGGGCUGGAGUCCGGAAGAGGCGAGUGGAAUUCCUGGUGUAGCGGUGAAAUGCGCAGAUAUCAGGAGGAACGCCGAUGGCGAAGGCAGCUCGCUGGGACGGUACUGACGCUGAGACGCGAAAGCGUGGGGAGCAAACAGG
rnacentral:rRNA from 1 species